rnacentral:rRNA from 1 species
CCUACGGGAGGCAGCAGUGGGGAAUCUUGCGCAAUGGGCGAAAGCCUGACGCAGCAACGCCGCGUGCGGGAAGAAGGCUCUCGGGUUGUAAACCGCUUUCAGCAGGAACGAAAAUGACGGUACUUGCAGAAGAAGGUGCGGCCAACUACGUGCCAGCAGCCGCGGUGACACGUAGGCACCAAGCGUUGUCCGGAUUUAUUGGGCGUAAAGAGCUCGUAGGCGGUUCGGUAAGUCAGGUGUGAAAACUUUGGGCUCAACCCAAAGCCUGCAUCUGAUACUGCUGUGACUAGAGUUCGGUAGGGGAGCGGGGAAUUCCUAGUGUAGCGGUGAAAUGCGCAGAUAUUAGGAGGAACACCGGUGGCGAAGGCGCCGCUCUGGGCCGAAACUGACGCUGAGGAGCGAAAGCGUGGGUAGCAAACAGGAUUAGAUACCCUGGUAGUCCACGCCGUAAACGUUGGGCACUAGGUGUGGGUCUCAACCAACGAGAUCCGCGCCGUCGCUAACGCAUUAAGUGCCCCGCCUGGGGAGUACGGCCGCAAGGUUAAAACUCAAAGGAAUUGACGG